GAGAGAUGGCGCGAGUGUCGCGAUUAUCAUCACUGGGCGACCCUAGCGCUGCGCCUAUACAUUCGGCCCGACUCGGCGCCGCUCGGUGCCCGUCCGUAGGUCACGUAGAUCGCGACGCGACGGCUCACGAAGGUAGACGAAGCCGCGGCUGUGUGCCGCCAGCGUCGCCACUGUCGCUAACCGCCGCCGCCGCCGCCCGUGAACAUCGUCGAUAUGAUCCCUCGCGCCGUCGAAAUUAAUCUCUACCUUUCUCGGUAAUAAUAGGAACGAUUGUUGCGCAUAAAAGAGUUCCACGUAAGCAUACAGACCGAUCGGUCACGAUUGACAUUAUUUUAUUUUGCGAUUAGUCUGAGUACGGCAACACUUUUCACAUAUCCGUGGCGUCGAGGAUCAAAAUUUACGUAUUAAUUUCAAAUAAAGUUACAUAAUUCGGCAAUGAGCCCACGAGCUCAGUCAUUUUAUUACGAUAAAUCGGUGUGUUUGAUUGAGAUCAGUCGAGCGUUAGUUUUUCGAUUUCACUUCGAAACAUCGGGAAUCUGCUUGACUACGAUGCCUUCCGCCAUUUUUUAUGUCCGUUAAAGUGUCGUUCGGGCAAGUGCGCGAGGGAAGUGUCAGUACGCUAAAAUCGCACAUUAAUUAUACUUCCAUUUAGUGAGGGAGGGAGCCGCAAUAAUAAUGCUCGUAUCAUUUAUAUUUGCCGUGCCCGAGUGUGUUGGCGUACUCGAACGCACGUCCCGCGAAUGAUCAGUUAAUUACCGUCGAAUGCACCGGGGCGAUCGUCGUUUCGCUAUCCUUAAUUAAGGGGGAUAUGUGCAUGCGUGCGUAAUAAUUCAUCAAUAGACUUAUCGUAUGGACGACGGACGGCCAAUAAUAUUAGAGAGGGGCUGAAUAGCGAAAGUAUAUAUUUCGCAUUUGCGUUAAUUUGCAAAGAGUUCCACGACGAUGGGAAUUUCCGGUCAUUUCCGGUCGAUAUCGAUUGGCGAUCCCGCGUUUCUAGAUUACGACAUAGAUCGCGCGAAUAGCGUCGCGCGAAACCGCCAUGUUGGCUUCUUGAAUUUUUCAGUUGCUCCACCGUGGGCGUGCAGAGGACACCGCGGUCGGCUUCGUCAUCACGGGCAUCGCGGGUUUUUUUUGCACGACGCGUCUGCGUACGCUCGUCGUUCGUUUCUUCAUCUGGACGAUUACGUAGGUAAUUUUAUAUAGAUAACGGUAAACACUGUAUGCGAUGUGCUCAAGACACGUCCGAUGUCGCUUUUCGUCUCGCUUUCGAGGCGUCCAAGUAGUUAAUGUCGAUCGGUAGUAUCGAGAUGGAUUCGCGCGAUCAUGAUUUCUCUAUCCUCAAUUAAGGAUACGCGUGAGAGCGUAAUGAGCAAUCGACAGGCGCUGUAGUGAGAAGGGAUUAAUCGGUGGAAGGAAGGGGACGGAGGAUAAACGACCAUGAAAGUCGCCCCGCAGUGGGUUUGCACGGCGGAAGUCGACAUGGUGCGAUUUGCGCAAGAUGGAGCACGUACUGUGUACAUACGUACAAGCAGGUAUACGUCACGACUUGGAUUAGCGUCGUGAAACUGCCAUCUUGGUUUUUUGAGUUUGCUCGGUUGCGGGGGUAAAUACGCGUGUGUAACGUCGCGUUUUCAUCAUUUCAUCAUGUUCGUCGUGUGCGUAUGCGGGCGACACGUCUGGAGCACAAAGUGCGUGUCGCGAGUCUCGCGGGGUGCAUGUUUCGCAAUCCGUGCAGUUUUCCACUCGUGUGUGGAAUGUGUUGUGGCGGUAUAACGAAGCGGCGCGUACGACGAUUAUGGUGGGAACGCACACACGUCGGCCGCGAACGGUGAAUAAAUUCAUUUAGUGGUCACAUUGGUUAAUUAUUCGCGCCUAUUUGCGAUGAUCAGAUGCACCGCCGGCUGGUUGAUCGUCAGAAAUGUCAUAAAAGCUACGCUCUUUGGAAAAAUAUCAGGUACCUUUCCUUCGACUGCUCGCGCGUGUGUGCGUAUAUGUGUAUGUGUGCACUUAAGGAGGUAUUUUAGAACGCGAAAAGAAUGAGUCUAUUUUUAGAAAUUUUUUAAAAGAAAUUGUUGCUUAUAUAUUUUCAACUUGCUUUUAUAUAUCUGCUUUUGCAUGGUUAAUAAAUGUUUGUAAAUUUUUGUAUUCGUAUGCUUAUUGGUUAAUUUUUAUAUUACUUAAAUUUAUUUUCCACAGGAAUUUGAAGACUGGAUUUUUGCGUGCCGCUGCCAAAAAAAUGGCUAACGAAACAUGGUAUCCUUCAGAGGAUAAUCCUUGCUGUCAACUUUUUUAGAGAGGGAAAUCAAGUCUUUCUGUUUCAACUUGCUUUUAUAUAUCUGCUUUUGCAUGGUUAAUAAAUGAAUUUGAAGACUGGAUUUUUGCGUGCCGCUGCCAAAAAAAAUGGCUAACGAAACAUGGUAUCUUUCAGAGGAUAAUUCUUGCUGUCAACAACUUUUUUAGAGAGGGAAACCAAGUCUUUCUGUUUACCGUCUGAAAGGCAAAAAGACAGCUGGAUCUUUAAAUCUCCAUGGAACUGCCUCUCGGUGGCAUAGCAGUCACAGUAUUUGGUGAGUGAAAAUAUAAAUUAUUGUACAAGAUUAAUUGCAUGUAUUAGAUUAUACAGUGAUUUUUAUUUUAUAUUGUUGCCAAAAGAAAAUGAAUGCGAAAGAAAUUGAUAUAUAUUACUAAUUGCAUAUAUCACGUACAUAUAAUAAUUGAUAUUAAUUUAAAUUAUUGCGUUCUUUUCAAUUACAUACAUAGAUUAUUAACAAUUUACAAUGUUGUAAUAAUAAUUUGUGAUCUUGCGCGGAAAUUUUGUAUGUUAUUUACUGUAGCAUAUAAUCAUGCAAUUAAUUGUAUUUUCUUUUUUGGGAGCUUGUUCGAAAUGCUGGUUUAAAAAUAUUUGUGAAUAAUGCGAACUUUAAACUGAAGUCUAAAUUGAAAUUGCAUACAGAAAAAUAGUAAUUAAUUCAAUGAAAUGUGUAGUUGCGGACUGUCAACUACAGAUGUAUUCAAUAUAAUAAUAUGUACUAUUGCAAUGUCAAUAUUGUACUUACAUUAACAGCAAAUAUUAUUGUAUUGAGUACAUCUUGCCUGCAACUACACAUUUUGUUGAAUCAAUUACUUUUUUCUUCGUGCAUAAAUUUAAUUCUAUUCUUUUCUUGUUGAUUCUUUAUUCAACAAAAGUUUUAUUAAUAUUGCUCGAGCAACGUAAAAUAUUUACAGUUUAUUUUUAUUGUCCGUUAUUGUUAUUUAAUUUUUUGGAACUUAUCAGUUUCCGAUGUAAUGUAAGCACUUGUUAAAGAUUGCGUUUCGUUCGAAAACAUUUCCCGAGAUUCAUCUGAUUAUAUAAACUUGCGUUUUAUUGGUUCUGCGAUGUUUUUCGGAAUCUCUUUCUUUCUCCAACUGAAGCUUGGCGCACAAGCGAAUCAUAUAUCGCGACACACAUAUCAGAUCGCCACCGUCGAUUCUUUCGUUCCUAUUUCAGGGAAAUACAUUGCCCCUCGUUUUCUAGGCGCGUUGUAAAGUCGUGACGUUAUCUGCAACAAGCUGAACUGACUUUGUCUGUGAUAUCAUCUCGAAUUUCGUUCCGGCGGGACGACGCUCGUACAAAUUUCUCUUAUCUAUGCUAUAAAAACCGAUAAGAGUAUCGCGCAAUUUUUUCUGACUUUCUAUCUGCGGUAAUAUAUAAAUUCAUUUUAGAGUAUGGACGAUGAUUUCAUAAUAUUGCGGUUUCAGUAAUUUUAAGCGUGUUGAUAUAUACACAGAAUUUUUAUAUUUAUACAAGACAUUUCACACUUUUUAAAACUUUAGUGAUGAAUUCUCUUUAGUCACAUAUGUAGAUUUUAGUACAAGUUUUAAAAAAAGCUUAAUUUACUUUUAUUAAUUUAAUAUGACACGGUAGUGUCUCUAACUUUUUUAUGAACAUAGAGAGAGAGAGAGAGAGAGAGAGAGAGAGAGAGAGAGAGAGA